rnacentral:rRNA from 1 species
GAUGAACGCUGGCGGCGUGCCUAAUACAUGCAAGUCGAGCGAACAGAUGAGGAGCUUGCUCCUCUGACGUUAGCGGCGGACGGGUGAGUAACACGUGGAUAACCUACCUAUCAGACUGGGAUAACUUCGGGAAACCGGAGCUAAUACCGGAUAAUAUAUUGAACCGCAUGGUUCAAUAGUGAAAGACGGUUUUGCGGUCACUUAUAGAUGGAUCCGCGCCGCAUUAGCUAGUUGGUAAGGUAACGGCUUACCAAGGCAACGAUGCGUAGCCGACCUGAGAGGGUGAUCGGCCACACUGGAACUGAGACACGGUCCAGACUCCUACGGGAGGCAGCAGUAGGGAAUCUUCCGCAAUGGGCGAAAGCCUGACGGAGCAACGCCGCGUGAGUGAUGAAGGUCUUCGGAUCGUAAAACUCUGUUAUUAGGGAAGAACAAAUGUGUAAGUAACUAUGCACGUCUUGACGGUACCUAAUCAGAAAGCCACGGCUAACUACGUG